CCAGACUCCUACGGGAGGAAGCAGUAGGGAAUUUUGCGCAAUGGGGGAAACCCUGACGCAGCAACACCGCGUGAAUGUUAAGCCCUUCGGGGUGUAAAGUUCUGUCCAUAGGGACGAAUUUUGACUGUACCUAUAAAGGAAGCACCGGCUAACUCCGUGCCAGCAGCCGCGGUAAUACGGGGGGUGCAAGCGUUGUCCGGAAUCAUUGGGCGUAAAGCGUUCGUAGGCGGUAAAGUAAGUCAGAUGUUAAAGCCCGGGGCUCAACUCCGGUUCGGCAUUUGAUACUACUUGACUAGAAUGCGGUAGAGGUAAAGGGAAUUCCUGGUGUAGCGGUGAAAUGCAUAGAUAUCGCGCAGAACUCCGAUUGCGAAGGCAGCAUGCCGGCUCCACACUGACGCUGAGGCACGAAAGCGUGGGUAUCGAACAGGAUUAGAUACCCGCGUAU
rnacentral:rRNA from 1 species